UGCGAUACGUAAUGUGAAUUGCAGAAUUCAGUGAAUCAUCGAAUCUUUGAACGCACCUUGCGCUCCUUGGUAUUCCUUGGAGCAUGCCUGUUUGAGUAUCAUGAAAUCUUCAAAGUAAAUCUUUUGUUAACUCAAUUGGUUUCUACUUUGGUAUUGGAGGUCUUUGCAGCUUCACACCUGCUCCUCUUUGUUCAUUAGCUGGAUCUCAGUGUUAUGCUUGGUUCCACUCGGCGUGAUAAGUUAUCUAUCGCUGAGGACACUGUAAAAGGUGGCCAAGGUAAAUGCAGAUGAACCGCUUCUAAUAGUCCAUUGACUUGGACAAUACUUUUAUGAUCUGAUCUCAAAUCAGGUAGGACUACCCGCUGAACUUAAGC
rnacentral:misc_RNA from 1 species